UUGAGCUGCACUUCCAGCCUGGAUGAGUGUACAAUUAUGAUUUUAGUGGUGACUAAGUUACUUCAUUCUUAUACUUUUUUAUAGCUCUGGCAGAACAUCAUCUAAUUGUAAAGGAGUUCAUGUUACCUAUUCUGUCAACCCAGCACCCUUUGCAUGAGCCAUUUGUGAAGGGCUCACACAGAGGGUAAUGGCAGUGGGAGCAGAUGGAAUCCCAGGAAACAAAAAUACGAUUCUCAUAUGAACCCGUCUCCAAAAAGAAUGCAAAGAAAAUAUAUUCAAUGCAAACACUCUUUCAGUGAAACCUUAUGGUCAUAAAGUAAAAAGGCACAAAACUCAGAAGUUUCAGCACUAGGCUUUUGUGGUUUUGUUGCAUUUUUUCAUUAAACUUUUAGCUUUUGUGUCUGUCUCCCAUCCUGAUUUGCCACAGUGGAUCUGAGUUAAUGUCUGAGGUAAAAGUUUGUAUUCUAAAUUUCUGACACAGAGACACAUCUAUUAAGCACCAUGGCUUAAGUUUGCAAACUAUGAGCACAAGUAUGUUAAAAAAACCAAAAAAACUGAAAUUAAAUUUCUCUGUGAACACUGA